UGCAUAUCUCCCGGUACAAUGUUUCCAACAAUGUAGACCCCCAACAAAGUUCACUAUCGCUAGUAAUCGCCGGUCAGCCAUACGGCGGUGAAUUCGUUCCUAGGCCUUGUACACACCGCCAAUCACACUAUGCGAGUUGGCCAUGCCUGAAGUCGUUACCUUAACCGCAAGGAGGGGGAUGCCGAAGGCAAGGCUAAUGACUGGAGUGAAGUCGUAACAAGGUAGUCGUACUGGAAGCAGCGGUUG
rnacentral:ncRNA from 1 species